GCAUAUCAAUAAGCGGAGGAAAAGAAAAUAACAAUGAUUCCCCUAGUAAAGCGAGUGAAGAGGGACAAGCUCAAAUUUUAAAUCCAUCGGGUUUUACCUGAUCGAGUUGUAAUUUGAAGAAGCGUUUUCUGCGUAUUUGGUCAGCCUAAGUCCUAUUGAAUGAGGCAUCAUGGAGGGUGAUAAUCCCGUCCGGUUGAUCAUUUGCGUUUUACGAUACGCUUUCUAAGAGUCAAGUUGUUUGGGAUUGCAGCUUAAAAUGGGAGGUAAAUUUCUCCUAAGGCUAAAUAACGGCGAGAGACCGAUAGCGAACAAGUACCGUGAGGGAAAGAUGAAAAGAACUUUGAAAAGAGAGUUAAACAGUACGUGAAAUUGUUGAAAGGGAAACGAUUGAAGCCAGUCGUACCUUCGGGUAAUCAGCCUUUCGGGUGCGAUUCUGUGGGGUUUGAGGAGCUUAACACCUUCAUGCUUUGCAUAUUCGUGCUCUUGGGUGUACUUGCCCGUGUGGUUGGUUAACAUCAAUUUCGGGCACCAUAAAAUGGCUGGAGGAAUGUAGCUUCGAUCUUGUAUUGAAGUGUUAUAGCCUUCGGUAGAUGUGGUGAUCGAGAUUGAGGAUUGCAACGGAUACCUUUCGGGGCUACCUGUCUGAUCUCUGAUCGUUGUUUUGGUGCUGAAAGCGUGCUUAUAGUUAUCAAAGUCGAUGGUCAAUAGGUUAGAAUGGGUUAAAUUCGUUAAGGAUGUUGACGUAAUGGCUUUAAACGAC
rnacentral:rRNA from 1 species